rnacentral:sRNA from 1 species
CAUUCUACUUUAUAGUAUAGAUUGAUAUAUAUAUAUAUAUGCUUCUUCCAUAGGUACAAGUAUGAAACUGAAUACAUAGACCAGACGAGUCACAGACUUAUGCUAAUCUACCACAAAAAUACUUUCCAGGGGGCAUGACAUUUCUGUAGGGCUAUAGGGUGACACGCUUACAAAGACGCGGGAGUUAAUGCUCUAAUAACGUCACCUACUUCAAGCAUUCACAGGGCCCUCCUUUAAGAGGUCAUACGUGUGCACUGAUAUCUCAUCAGGACUGGAACCCGAGGACGACAUCAUAACACCGAUGAGCAUUUUUAUAAGUUGUCUAAUUAUUCCCAGAGAAGACGUCAAUACAUUUAUAGAAAUCGUUAA